CAAUUGCACAUCACUUCUGUUUUCAAACAGGAGACAGCUGCAACAGGAAGAGAACAUCUGCUGCCGCGGUAACAUAAGCGUUUCUCGUUCCCGUACUGUCAUGCCUGAGCGGCCUUUUCACCGGACAGCUUUGAGUCUGACAGGCGCCUGAUGAAGUUUGGAGUUUCUGUAAGUGAGCUCAUCAGGCUGUCACUCACAAAGUACUUAUUCACACCUCCUCUUGAAGAGAGAUUAAAAACAAGUGAGCAAUAUUUUUUUUUCCUUCCUCAAAGAACAGCCUUAGUUUGGGCGCCAAUCUGGCUUCUUGUGUGACUUGUGUAAACUUCUAGAUACUUCAGCAGUCUGUGUGAGCCCGGGCCAUCUGUAGCCUCUGUCAGUGCUUCUCUGAGUCUUUGUUGCAACAGAGAAAAAAAGAAAUGUUUAUAUCAGCUCAGAUGGAAGAGUGCAAGCUCUCUCAGCAUCAUUGAUAACAUGGCAGAACUGUUCUCUCUUCUGCUAUGUUAGUUUCACACCUUCUCUCAUUUUCUCUACGCGCUGGGGCCUUUUUUGCAGCUAGCUGGAGCUUGGCCAGCCGGAGCCAUUUCAUCCCAUUAUGUGGUACUGUAAAAAAACAGCUGCUCCGAUUCCACACUGGUGAAUAGGUUAAAUGGUGACACACGGAACAAGGCUUUUUUCGUCACGGUCUAAAUUGACCGACAACAGGCUCUGGAGGUUCCCCGUUUCUUCCCGGCUGCCUUCCAGCUCUGUUGCUUUUGAUUUCCAAUUAGUGAGCAUUCAUUCCUGCAGCCAUUUUAAGAGUUAUAGCUCUCUCUCUCUCUCUCUUUCUCUCUCUCUGGCUCUUUUUAUCUGUAACUGUGAGGAUUUAUCGACAUGUUUUAAUGCACAAUUGGAGAAGACACAAGAAACCCUCAAAAUACGUCAGACCUGAUAAUCAUCUGCUUUUACUUAAUCGUGCAGUUGGACUGUCUAUCAUCAAUACACUGUAUCACUAAACCAAUAUUGUUGAAUUCCGCUAAACUGCAAAAUCAAUAUUUAUAUAAAAAUAACAAAAAUAACACUGGAGAAGCAGCAGUAGCUAGCGAGCUAGCUAGCUAGCUGAAGCAGGCCUCAGAGAUGAUUUUAUUAAAUGUUGUGGCCACACCAAAUACAAAUAAAAUAAUUUGUGAAUUACCAGUAAAGUCAAUGUUAAGACUUAAGUUCGAGUUAGGCAACGUGAAUUUUCCAACAAUCAAAUUUCAAAUUCACAAGCGUUAAGAAAUAUGAACUCAAGAGGACCGUUUGUGCCGUGAUAGCCUAUUAGCAUGAAGAUUACCUGGUGACAUAGAAAGUAAUUCCUUCCUCCCUUUCCUGAGGUUGUGCAGUUUUGUCUUUUCAGUUAUCUAUAAUCAUUAAAAAUAAGCCUUUCAAAUGGGCUCUUUUGAGCGCAUGUUUGGCUUGUAUGGCAUAUACCCAGAAUUAAGACUGCUCUAUCCUUCACAUUGUUUGCAACCCCCGGAAACAUGUUUAUAAAACAAAAUUCCCUCUUAGGUCUUAUUUUUCUAUUACUGCUGCUAAAAACAGCAUAUAAUUCUUCAAUCUGAACAUUAACAGGAUAUUAAAAGCCCCUAAAGUGCAUGUAGGCAGUAAGUUAAAGUUCAAGUGUUUAAUAGCAUGUUGAAAAGUGCUUACUCAACCAUAAAUGUUAUCUGAGAUUGUCCAUUUCCCAUUAAAAAACAGAGAACAAGUGCCUUACAAAAGAUACUUGUACUUUAAGAGUGAAUUAGAUAUUUAGAAUGAAAGCAAAGACAAGAGCUACUCCUCAAAAGCAGACGAGUUCAGCCUUCCCUUUUUCCUUAACUGACCUCACUGUCAGUCCUCGGUCUCUGAGGCAUUGAGAAUUUGCAGGACGGGGGGAGGUUCAUCUAAAACUGACUAUUGCAAGAAAUGUUUUGACAGAGUUUCCAAUGGCUGGUGAAGAAUAAUGGCAAUAUGAGUCAUGAUUAACAACCCUAUCAAACCCUCCAAGAUAUAUUGUGGUCAUUUGUGUCAAGGGAUGUAAAAGUCCAAAUCUGGCUGGAUGAAAAGAUAGCCGGUUAUUCCUGGGGGGAGUUUUUGGGGUGGCAAUGCAUGAUUUGUGAUCACUGCAUAUCAAAACCUGCAAAUGAUGAGCGUACAAAUCAUUAUCAGGCACAGGCAGUGACAUGAUACCAAUUUACAAUCUGUGAAUAGGCUGUUGUCAUUAGCAUAUUGUUUGUAGCAUUUAUGGAGGUCGCAGUCAUGGCAUAGAGAUCUUAUAUUUAAUUAUGAAUGAAACAUGACAGCAGUGCAAGGGGGCUAAUUUGAAUUUAUCACUAGGUGAAGCUGCCAUUCACUGUCAGCAACCAAACAAAGCCACUCCUCUGACUCCUCUCAAAAUGCGCUUUUGUCCCCACCGUUGUGCAGUGACUGUUGUGUGAUGAAUGAGAAAAGUCAAGACCCGCUGUGUCAAAAAGAAUCUCCCUGGAGGAAACUGAUGUCCUUGUCCAAAAGCCGCAAAGUCUCAGAGGACCGAGUACACGGCGCCACAAAAAUCCAACCAAGGGCAGAUGAUGUCUCUGUAAAAGUUUAAUCCAUAUUCCAAAACAAAGUGCGAGCUGUGUCGCCACGUUUUUCCAUACGCAUGAAGAAUUUAUGAUGGAGGGUGUUUCAGUCUGUCAAAACCAGAAGGUUUGAUGACAGGCUCUGGCCUCCACAAGGGUCUGACAGCUUCUUUUAAAGGCACAGUGCGCAGAGUUUAGCAUGUAGCAGAAGAGACUUGGAGCAAAUUAAAUAUAUAUAAAAUAUUUUUAACCCUUUAAUGCCUGACACCACAAAUUAUGGACAGAAAUUAUAAAUAUUUUGAAGCUGAAAUGUUUAUUUUACUUACUACUGAAAAAAAUCUAAAUGUCCUAAAAAUCUAUCAAAUAUAUUUAUUUAUCUUGUUUGAUUCAUUAGAUGUUUUGGGAAACUGAUAAACUACAAGAGGACAUUUUUAUAAUUUAUUGGACUGUAUUUCGGUGUUUAUUUUUAGUAAUUCGUUGAUCAUAUUGAUUUGAUAGAAGUAUAUAAAAGUAUGUAUCAAAUAUGAUACAAAAGGCAAUAAAGGGUUAAGUAUGUUUUGAUAGGUUACACCGGGUGCUACUGUAGCUGAGAAUGGACAAACUUGUAAAUGACAUAUAUUUUUUUCAGUCUGUGCCAAGUUAUUUGUAUUUGUUGAUGUUUUUGAUGUAAAGAAUGACAAAUGGAUGAUCAUACUUAAACUCACAGGAACUUCUUGACCUUGAAGGCCACCGUUGCUUUAUCAUUGGAAGGGGUGAGCAUGGGGGCAAAUGUAAUGAUCCCACAUUGCUGCAUAUUCCAGUUUCUAUUCUCUGCAUAGAUCCAGACUCGAGUCAGUACAGUACAGAUGCCAGUUUCCUUUACUGUCAUACAUGUGCAACUUAUGACAAGUGUGACUACCUCAGUGGCCGUCAAUGUAUACACACUAUUGUGGUAUCAUAUAUUAGGCGAAAUGUCAUAAAAUUCCAAUGCACUGCUUCCCAAACCUAUUUUGGCAAAAGACAUGUCAUGGUGAGCAAUGGCGGUAUCAAGGGAAAUUGCUUCAUAAAAAUGUCAAAUCACAAAGAAAAGUAACCACUUUAAUCCAGAAGCAGGGGUCAUGGUGUGGCCUCCAGUCACUCAUUCUGGCAUUGCCAUCUCUGCCUUAUUGCAACAGCUAGUCAAAGCAAAACAUUACAAAACUGAGCCAGUGCUUUAACUAAAACCCACGUCUGAGCGGUGCCAUGUUCACUGUGUCGCAUCACAGAGGCUUUUUGUAAUUCCGCCCAGCACUGACCACUCCAAACAUCCCCAAAUCCCUCUUGUCAAUAAAGAAAAGACAACACAAGGAACUGACUUCUCGGCUUUUCUUUGCCUUGUCAAAAGUUUCCAUAUCGCGUUGUGAGUUCUACACAGCAUAACUAAGACCCUGCAAGCAGCUUAUCUGCUUAAAACAGGAGGGCGAGAGAGGGUGAAAAAACAGCUUCCGUCUUCCAUCUUUUUUCCUGGUUCACAGAGUGGGUUUAUUGAAGCCACCAGAGCUUUGGUUUCUCCCUCUAGAUCCCCCCCUCUGCCAUUCCUCCCAGUCUAAUCCACUUAGGCCCAUGCUUUCUCCGCUGGUCUUGAUUGGCGAGGCCUCUAAACUUCAACCUCUGGAUCCAGGAAAAAUCAAUAAAAUUUACUGGACUGCAAAAAUUCUCAGUAUUAGAGGCUACGAUUAAAAUAUAAUACUAUUACGACAUUGUUACUGUAGAAAUACAUCAUUUGACUAUAGGAGAAACUGGGACAAUGAGGUAGGAGAGUGUCAGGUAUUGAAAUUGACCUCCAAUCAGGGGUGUGCACAGAGGAGCAGGCACAGGUGGCACUGCCCUCCUUUAAAUGGCCACCCUGGUCCCAUCUCCAAAUUCUCCAAAUUGAAGUUAAAAAACUUCCUUCUGGAUGCUCCUCAAGUGUAUUAAUCAUGAUAAGAUGCUCUUCUAAUAAUUUUAUGUAGAUAUACAGGUUAAAUUAGGUUGAUGCUUGUGAUCUCAGUUUAAUACUUCAAAGAGUGUUUUGAUUUAAGUGUUUAAUUUAUCGUUUGGUAAACAUUUAAUCAGUAAGUUGUAGGCGGUGAUACACAAUUAAAUGUUGCCUAGGUUCUCACAAAAAUAUGGGGAAAUUAGCGUUAAGCUCUCAAAAUUUCAAGCAGGAGGACCCCAAGAACCCCUUUUGAUUUUCUUGUGCAUCUUCAUCAUGAUCGCAGAUUGCUUAAGAGAAAUAAGUGAAGGGUUUCAGAGGCAGAUAUUGGCUUUUUGAACCCAAUUGUUUAUUAGAGGUGGCCUUUUGAUUAAUUCGAGUAAUAAAUAAACUCCAAAUAGCAAGAUGGACACUGUGAACCAUGACAUGAGCUCAAUACUGACUUUUAUCCUUAUCUAUCUUAUUUAUUACAGUUUAUUUGUUUCAUACAUAAAGAGAACACUGAAUUAACUCAAUAGAAAUUCCUUCACUUAUCACAGAAUGGCGUCAUUUCCGUAAAGUUGUCACCAAACUUUUCUUUGUCUUUUUUUUUUUUGUAACUCUUACUUUUAUUCUCAUCAUUUUCUCGAGAGGAAGACUGAGAAAUUUAAUCACAGAGCUCCUUUAACACUCCUCCUGUCUGUCCACCAUUGUACACAACUUUUCACAAUUCAUUGUGGGUGUCUACUGUACAGGGUAUAAUUAUUAUCACUCAUGUUUUAGACAGCACUACAAAUGGUGUAUUCGCUGUGCAGCACACUGCAGUAGUGGGUGAUUUUGGGUGCAACUUGGCCUGAACAGUUUGUCAAAAUAGGAUUUAGGGGAUUAUUUUCUUCAGUCCUUUGAUUCUGAUAUACCGAAUACCAUUUCUCUGGUAUUUACACUUAACACCUUAAUGCAUCACAUUGUAAAUCCUGCCACAUCCCACUCAUCUCUUUUCCAUUCAUUUCGUUGUCUCUCAAUGCCGUCCCUUAAAGCGCCUCGGUCUCUCACUCUCCCUCUACAAAACAACACUGAUGCUAAUGUCAUUGAAACCCCAGGUGCUUCUAGUGCCUCUUGAAGUCUGACAUCAGUCCCUGCCACCCCCUUUCCCCUGGGUCCAAUUUUCCCGGCAUGAAGCUUCAAGGUCCUCAGCUGAGCUCUCUGUUUAGCAACAACAGUAGCUGCAACUGCGAGUGUGUGUCAGUCUGAAUGGUAAUGAGCGUCCCGGAGAUUGAACCCCCAGUCUUCCCCGCUCUCCCUCUCUCUGUCUUCCUGAAAAUAGAUUUGUUCUCACAUGCAGUACAGAUACUGUAAUCGCAUUCCUCCAACAGUGAUCCCUUUGGGAUUUGUUGCACGCGCACCAAAAAUGUAAAUGAAUGCAGGGGGGGAUAGACAUCAUCAGCGAUAAAUCAUAUUACUGGCAAUUCUGCUUAGCAACACAACUAGACUGCACUGUAAGCAAUGACCACAGGGAAUUAGCUCUGAGUCUCGUAUUUCCCAAAUACUACACCCCGUUAUUGUCAGCUCACUCCAUUUCCUUGUUUUAUUGCACAUUUACAAGAAAGCAAAAAUGUACUUUAGAGGAGUACAUUCGUAGGGGGACCAGUUUAAUUGUAAGAAGGAAAGGCGUGCUAUAAUGGAAAUAUAUAUUUCUUCACAGCAAGAAAGGAAAGUAGAGAGGAGGUCUUAUAACAUCCCUGUCUAUAAAUCUCUGGUAAAAUAAAUGCCAAACUGAGAAUGUGGCAAAAUGCUUUUUUUCUUCACCACAUGGUUCAUUGUUUGCGCCUGGGCCACUCUAAAGUCUCCAAGAAGUGCGGGACUGUCGUUAUAUAAUGCAGCUGGAAUCUUGGUUGUUGGCUGUCAAACUAACAAGCUUGGGGAAAUACAAAAAUGGUUGGGUGAGAGAUAUCUGAGGGCUACUAAAUUACCUUAGAGACUCACAGAGAGAUGGGCGCACCUUGGCGUACGUUCAUACGAGCGCGUUUGUUUGUUCGCCGGUUGUGUUUGCAGAAAAGAAAGACUCCUAGAUAAGGUUUCUGCUUAUAUUCUCGCUGCCUCCACACUGGAAAUCUCAAAACCCUGACAAAUAUUAAUGCAAGUUGUGCAAACUUUGGAUUCUCAGGGGAAACUAUCUCAGAUGUUUCAUGUCCCACGAUUAAUAAAUGAUGCCCCGCUCUUGACAGGGACUAUUCUUAACCCCCAAGCCUGCGCAACG